AUGAGUUACUAUGGCAACCACUACAGUAUCCUUAGAUUUAAUCUUUGUGUCCUGUGUAGGUCUAUGGCUCCAGCUAUGGCUGUGGCUGUGGCUGGGGAGGCUAUGGCUGUGGAGGCUUCGGUGGCCUGGGCUGUGGCAGUGGCUGGGGAUGUGGCAGCUUCCCGAGACUGGGCUGGGGCUGGGGAGGCUACAGAUAUGGCUGCGACCGCCCACUGUGCUAUGGAGGAUAUGGAUUCUCUACCUUCUACUAAACAUACUGUUGAAAUUGAAUGCAAAGAGAAAGCCUCCACAUUUAUUUGGUCCUAUUUUUGUAGUUCGAUUCCCAAAACAUCUAUCCUAUAUUCUCCAGGACGAAUCAAUAGCUAUUUAUCAAUGGUUAAACUGCUUCUACAAAUAUUUGGUGCUUUUUACCUCCAGAACCCAUCAUCUUAAAUGAAUAUUCAAUACGUGAAACUGUCCCAGUUUGUGUCCUCAUUUUGGUUUACUUCUCUUGCCACCAUUAUCAUAAUGUUAUCUUUCUAGAAGACCUUGAAGAAAAUUUGUAUUUUUGCUUUUGUCCAAUAAAAUGAUUACUCGAAAUCUAAAUAGCCUGGUUUUGUUUGAUGUUUUGAUGUCUUGAUUUUUAUUAUUUUAACAUCUUCUUUUGCAACAGAUAUAAAAAAUUAGCUUAUGAAGCUGCAAGGUCUGUGGCUAUUGGUUAUAGAGUAUGAUGCAACAAUUUCUAGUUCACCACAUUAUACAAGCUUGAGAACAAACACAUAGGGAGCAUAGGGAGUAAUACUAACAGUUAAUGAAAAUGACUCUCUCUGUCAGCUCCCUUAACAUAUAUAUACAUAAAUCACAUAUAUAUUUAUUUUUUAAUUUUUUUAAAAUAAUCAAUUUAUUUUUAUUGGUGUUCAAUUUGCCAACAUACAGAAUAACACCCAGUGCUCAUCCCGUCAAGUGCCCCCCUCACUGCCCAUCACCCAUUCACCCCCAUCCCCUGCCCUCCUCCCCUUCCACCACCCCUAGUUCGUUUCCCAGAGUUAGGAGUCUUUAUCACAUGUGUAUUUAUAUAUAUGUCCUCUCAAAUGUCUCUCAAGUGUUCCUGGAACUACUAAGGAUUGUGUCAUUCUCAUAUUUACAUUCAAGUACCUAUUUCUGUGUGACAUUGCUACUAGCUAAAUAUUUUCUUUCUUUUAAGGCUAUUUAUUAGCUUCACAGCAUAAGGUACUGAGGUUUCCUACAUAUCCUCUGCUCCCACACAUGCACAACAUCCCCCAAUAUCAGUAUGCCCUACCAGAGGGGUACAUUGGUUAUAACUGAUGAACUAACAUUGACACAUUAUAAUCACCCAGUCCAUACAUUACGGUUGAUUCUUGGUGUAGUACAUUCUAGGGUUUGGACAAAUAUACAAUGACAUGAAUCCAUCAUUAUAAUAUCAUACAGAAUAUUUUUACUGUCCUAAAUAUCUUUUUUUAAGUUUUUAUUUAAAUUUCAGUUAGUCAACAUACAAUGUAAUAUUAGGUCCAGGUGUACAAUUUAGUGAUUCAUCACAUUAAGCAUACUCCUUAAUCCCUGAAUAUGUCCUAUGGUCCUCCUACCCAUCCCUUCCCUUGCUGAAUAUCUUCCUGGUACCACUGGUCUAGCCAGACAUGCCUUUGCUUUCUUAUAAACUUUGUCUUCGGGCAGGGGAGGAUAUUGGAAAGUAUCACUCAUUACCUGGGCAGGAACUUUAUUUCUAUAGUUGGCAUCUUACUGAGGGCUAUUGUCCCUCAUAAGGCUGGUCCACCUACCAGUGAGUGGUACAGUGUUCUAUGGAAAAUAAGGGUGUAUGGGGGGUGUCUUUUCUGAUUUCUUUUUACACUCUGUUAGAAGGCACUUAAUAUUCUCUAGACCUUCUCAUGAAGGAACAGUGGUACAAAGUGAAACCUUAGUCACACCCCAGAUGCUUUAUUGACAAGAGUCUCUCAUGGCUGGAAACUCUGGCUCCAUUGUUUAGUCAAGGUCAAACAACCUGGCUCUUUCUUUCUUCAGAAUUUAUUUCCUCCCAGAAAAUUCCUCAAUCUCUCAUGAGGAACUUCCUUUUAGGCUUAUUCCAUCAGUUCACCUCUCGGAACAAUUGUCUUGGAACAUCAACAGUGAGCACAAAUUGAAUUCUCCCCAGAAGGUUUCUUAGCCAACUUUUGAAGUGCCCAGAACAGCCUGUUUCACCAGUUUGUCUGACAUGACCAGACAUGUCUGAAUCCACUCAGAUUCAUAUUUGGACCCCUAUGC
rnacentral:lncRNA from 1 species